rnacentral:lncRNA from 1 species
GUUUAAAGAAUCUAUAUAUCUUUAAUUUAGCAUGCCUCUUCAAUACAGUCUCUGUGAAAUAUAGAAAUAUAGAAAAGCACUUUUCUGUUGCUCUUAUGCAUAGAUUUUAUGUGUAGUUCUGUUAUAAUAAUAACAACUGACAUUUAUUAAGUGUUUACUAUAUGUUGGGCAUGCUUUUAAGUACUCUGUAUAUAUGUUUUGUAAAUUUUCAUGCUGACACUGAAAAGCUGCUAUACUUUCCUCUUUUAAUAAAUAUAGACACUGAAGGAGAGGGUUUAAUUAAGUUGCAAAUGAUUUGCAUGUCCAUCAUUUAUUCACUCAUUUAACAAGAUUAUUGAAUACCCCUUUUUGUUAGGUAUUAUGAUAGAGAUUGGGAAGCAAGAUGUAAAUAAGCAAGUAAGUUUCUGGAUCUUGGAAUACUUAAAUGUUUGUGAUAAAGACAAUACAUGAAAACAAGCAGCAACAAUAAAGAAGAUAACUUCCUCUACUGAUAUAUCUAUGAAAAACAAAUUAAAUAUAAUGAUAAAUACAGUAAAUAUGGGUAUAGAGUGUGGCUUUAGAUAGGAGAGUCAAGGAAUGUUUAACAAAGUGAGAGUAGAGUUUAAGCUACGUGGAACUGAAUCUGCUAAGACAAAUUAGGCAUAGAAGAUGCAGGGAAAGAGACUUCCAGCCAGGGUGAAGAGUGAGCAGGAACAGAAAGGAGGCCAGUAUACUUGCAGCAUAGUGCAUGAGAGACAACAACAAAAAGAGGUCAAUCAAGUAAACCCAAGUCCUCUCACUCUGGAGCCUGCCUUCUUAUGUAAUAACUAAGAUUUUGAACUCUCUCAGCCAUAGAGUAUUCCCAGCUUGGGAAUGAACUGCAAGGCCAAGGUUGCUGUCCCAAAGCGUAAAAUCUCUGAGAACUCUCCAGCAUUCUUAAAACAUAUAAAUUUUACAUUCUAUUUCUAAUAUAUAUUUAAUUUAUCAUGAGAAUAAUACCCCCUUCCUCUUGAAUUUCUUGGAAGAUGAGCCAUAUUUCUUCUGAGACUCUGCAGGGAACUGCCUGGAGCAUUUCUGAGCAUACCCGAAUGUAUAUAGGAUACAUUUUGAGAAACACGAUCACCAUAGCUUAUGGCUGUGAAACCUCAGUUGUAACAUCAAUAAAAUGGGAAGAACAAAAAAGUUGCUGUGAAGAUAAAAUGAGGCAGGUCCUGUCAACUGAUUGUGGAAGGAAAAUGAGAAUUUCAGAUGCCUGCUGAGAUCUGUGGAUGGAGUACUUUGUCCACAGGGCACUGAGCUCUGGCCAAACCAAAGACUUGUACUGCAUAGAUGUUCUUCAAUCUCUAUAGCUGGGAACUCUCUUCUUUUUGUAGUGCUUGCCCAUUGUAGAUGUUUAAUAAGUUUGCAUUACGUACAGGAGAAACUAUGAAAGUCCCUUAUAAAUAUAACAACCAUAAUGAUAAAAGGAAAUGUGUUUGCUUUUCCACAUACAUUCCAGGCCCUGGGCUAAACACUCUUUUAAUCCCCACAAUGACUAUACAAAAUAAGCACUAUUAUUUUCUUUGGUUUUACAGAUGAAGACGCUGAGUCUUAAGAAAUCAAAUAUCUGCUCACAGUUGCACAUCUAACAGACAUAUGGAUUCAGGCAAUAUGACUGCAGAGAGUAGAUUGUUAACCUUUAAUCUAUAGUACUUCUUUUUCGCAACUGUCCCUAACCAUUAAGUUAUAGGAGAACACCAGCAACAAAUCCUAGAGAAAGUUGCUGUUUUAGAACUGAACAAAUGUGUUGCAAGGCCAAAGCCACUCUGUGCAUUAAGGUCAAAGCAUUGCUCACCCUCGACGAAUAAUUAAGACAAUCCUCUACUACCCUUAAAAUUGGCUGGAAGCCUUUCACAGUCUCACGCCUAUUUUACAUUUUUGUCCCAUCUCUCUCCACUAGCUCCUCACGCCUUUUCUCCAAGUCUAAGCUCCAAACAUAUUACAUUACUUUCAUUUAAUUAUCUCGGCUCACUGCAAGCUCCACCUCCCAGGUUCACGCCAUUCUCCUGCCUCAGCCUCCCGAGUAGCUGGGACUACAGGCACCCACCACCACACCUGGCUAAUUUUUUGUAUUUUUAGUAGAGACAGGGUUUCACCAUGUUAGCCAGGAUGGUCUCGAUCUCCUGACCUCGUGAUCCGCCCGCCUCAGCCUCCCAAAGUGCUGGGAUUACAGGCGUGAGCCACUGCACCCGGCUGAACAAGCCUACUUUUACUCCUGUCAAGACUCUGCACUGUUCUUCCCACUGGCUAGAAUACAGUCUUCUCCUUUUCUCUUAUCAGUAUUCCAGUGUUCUGCCUAGUAUAAGCUGGACCUGGAAAGCCAACGGCCUGACUAGAGGAUGAGUGAUUCUCUCUGACAACCUAGCUUUGGUGUUUGCCCCUGACAUUAGGGGCCCACAUCCAGCCAAUUACAUUUCCCAGGAUUUUACAUCUUUUUGAAAUAGCACAUUUGUCAAGGAAGCAGGAGCAGAAAGCGUUUGGUGCAUGCAAAGGUAGAAAAACUCCUGAAUUUAAAAGCACUAAACUAGGAGUCAGGCUCCUAGACGCUGGGGUGUGACAUCAGUCUGUUUUUGAGCAUCUAAGUCCUGGCUAAACAAUUACUGCUAUGCAUUUGUCACAGUCGAUAUUGAAGAUCCUAUAGUUGGAGACUGUGAGAAUAAUAACAUUUAAGGCUCAUGCACAUUUUCUUUACAAUUAUUCAUUGUUCAUCUUGUGUGUCUGUCAUCAUGGAAGCUACAAAAUACCAUGUAGAUGGCACCUACCGAGCAAUAACACUUUGAACAAAUGGCCUAAAAGUAGCUGAGAAAAGAAGGACAAGAAAAGAUAGAACAAUAACGUAUCCUGGAAGCCAGAUUCUCAUUGCAUGUAUGUAUGUUUAAACAUUUACAAUUAAGAAUGGCUUUAGCAUUUCAUGGGGGAAAAUGAAC